rnacentral:rRNA from 1 species
GAUGAACGCUGGCGGCGUGCCUAAUACAUGCAAGUCGAGCGAACGGACGAGAAGCUUGCUUCUCUGAUGUUAGCGGCGGACGGGUGAGUAACACGUGGAUAACCUACCUAUAAGACUGGGAUAACUUCGGGAAACCGGAGCUAAUACCGGAUAAUAUUUUGAACCGCAUGGUUCAAAAGUGAAAGACGGUCUUGCUGUCACUUAUAGAUGGAUCCGCGCUGCAUUAGCUAGUUGGUAAGGUAACGGCUUACCAAGGCAACGAUGCAUAGCCGACCUGAGAGGGUGAUCGGCCACACUGGAACUGAGACACGGUCCAGACUCCUACGGGAGGCAGCAGUAGGGAAUCUUCCGCAGUGGGCGGAAGCCUGACGGAGCAACGCCGCGUGAGUGAUGAAGGUCUUCGGAUCGUAAAACUCUGUUAUUAGGGAAGAACAUAUGUGUAAGUAACUGUACACAUCUUGACGGUACCUAAUCAGAAAGCCACGGCUAACUACGUG